rnacentral:rRNA from 1 species
AUUGAACGCUGGUGGCAGGCCUAACACAUGCAAGUCGAGCGGAUGAGAGGAGCUUGCUUCUCGAUUCAGCGGCGGACGGGUGAGUAAUGCCUAGGAAUCUGCCUGGUAGUGGGGGACAACGUUUCGAAAGGAACGCUAAUACCGCAUACGUCCUACGGGAGAAAGCAGGGGACCUUCGGGCCUUGCGCUAUCAGAUGAGCCUAGGUCGGAUUAGCUAGUUGGUGAGGUAAUGGCUCACCAAGGCGACGAUCCGUAACUGGUCUGAGAGGAUGACCAGUCACACUGGAACUGAGACACGGUCCAGACUCCUACGGGAGGCAGCAGUGGGGAAUAUUGGACAAUGGGCGAAAGCCUGAUCCAGCCAUGCCGCGUGUGUGAAGAAGGUCUUCGGAUUGUAAAGCACUUUAAGUUGGGAGGAAGGGUUGUAGAUUAAUACUCUGCAAUUUUGACGUUACCGACAGAAUAAGCACCGGCUAACUCUGUGCCAGCCGCCGCCGUAAGAC